GAAGAAGGUGUACCGUGAGGAGCGCUGGAACGCAUAGAAGUGAGAAUGCCGGUAUGAGUAGCGAAAGACAGGUGAGAAUCCUGUCCACCGUAAGACUAAGGUUUCCAGGGGAAGGCUCGUCCGCCCUGGGUUAGUCGGGACCUAAGGAGAGACCGAAAGGUGUAUCCGAUGGCCAACAGGUUGAUAUUCCUGUACUAGAGUAUAUAGUGAUGGAGGGACGCAGUAGGCUAACUAAACCGGACGAUUGGAAGAGUCCGGCUAAGCAGUGAGGUGUAAGAUGAGUCAAAUGCUUAUCUUUAUAACAUUGAGCUGUGAUGGGGAGCGAAUUUUAGUAGCGAAGUUAGUGAUGUCACACUGCCAAGAAAAGCUUCUAGCGUUUAAUGAUACUCUACCCGUACCGCAAACCGACACAGGUAGUCGAGGCGAGUAGCCUCAGGUGAUCGAGAGAACUCUCGUUAAGGAACUCGGCAAAAUGACCCCGUAACUUCGGGAGAAGGGGUGCUGACUUAGGUCAGCCGCAGUGAAUAGGCCCAAGCAACUGUUUAUCAAAAACACAGCUCUCUGCUAAAUCGUAAGAUGAUGUAUAGGGGGUGACGCCUGCCCGGUGCUGGAAGGUUAAGAGGAGGGUUUAGCGCAAGCGAAGAUCUGAAUUGAAGCCCC
rnacentral:rRNA from 1 species